rnacentral:rRNA from 1 species
GACGAACGCUGGCGGCGUGCUUAACACAUGCAAGUCGAACGGAAAGGCCCUGCUUUUGUGGGGUGCUCGAGUGGCGAACGGGUGAGUAACACGUGAGUAACCUGCCCUUGACUUUGGGAUAACUUCAGGAAACUGGGGCUAAUACCGGAUAGGAGCUCCUGCUGCACGGUGGGGGUUGGAAAGUUUCGGCGGUUGGGGAUGGACUCGCGGCUUAUCAGCUUGUUGGUGGGGUAGUGGCUUACCAAGGCUUUGACGGGUAGCCGGCCUGGGAGGGUGACCGGCCACCUUGGGACUGCGGUACGGCCCAGACUCCUACGGGAGGCAGCAGUGGGGAAUAUUGCACAAUGGGCGGAAGCCUGAUGCAGCAACGCCGCGUGCGGGAUGACGGCCUUCGGGUUGUAAACCGCUUUCGCCUGUGACGAAGCGUGAGUGACGGUAAUGGGUAAAGAAGCACCGGCUAACUACGUG